AGAUGAUCAAUAUAUCCUAUAUACCAAUAACAUGAAGCCCACUAUUCUUGCAAUGACAAAAAUCGAACGAAGCAACGCUAAAAAGGUGUAUGGAAAAGAGCCAAAGUUGUAUUACUCCAUUGAAUCAAAACACAUAGUAUGACACUUGUAUAAUCUUGAAAGGAGUAUGGUUCUUUCUUGACAUUUAGUAUAAUAUGUGUAUCAAUAAUAGCAAAAGAAGCAACUUUCCUUUGAUCAAAAAUCAAGUGUACUAACACUUGUUAUAAUCUAGUAGGAAGAAUAUUCAUUAUUUUGCCUAUAUAUAUAUGUAUGCUUCUUUGUAUGUUAUGAAGUAGAGAGAAAAAACAAUAACACACACUUUGUUUAAAUCA